rnacentral:rRNA from 1 species
AUGGCCUUGAUCCCGUCCAUAGACCGGACGAAGUCCAGAUCGAGGUACGCGUCCGAGUCAGGGAAGAAGGUAGCGGUGCUGUCCUCGGGGCUAUCGCCAGGCUCGGGAAGAAGCCAGGAGGCCGCCUCGGCCUCGUUGCUCCCGUCGUCGUCCGCGUCCUCCUGCGUCGCGGCGGCGGAGGACGGGGAGGGGGCGGGCUGGGGCGGGUCGGCGAGCGCGCCGAAGAAAGGCGUGACGGGGAGGCGCUCGUGCCGGCUGGCGAGCGGGUUGGCGGAGUGGAUGUCGGCGUCGCACGUGGCGCAGAGCGCGGCGGCGUCGGCGCGGCAGGUGACCGCGGCGGGCGCGUGCUCGCAGACCUCGCAGAGCCAGACGCGCGCGUGGCGGGAGCCGGCCCCGUGAGCGCGCGCGUCGCACCCGGCGCAGAGGUAGGCGCCGUCCGACCGGCAGUAG